CGUGUAGGCGGCUAGGUAGGUCCGUUGUGAAAACUCGAGGCUCAACCUCGAGACGUCGAUGGAAACCAUCUAGCUAGAGUCCGGAAGAGGAGAGUGGAAUUCCUGGUGUAGCGGUGAAAUGCGCAGAUAUCAGGAAGAACACCCGUGGCGAAGGCGGCUCUCUGGUACGUGACUGACGCUGAGACGCGAAAGCGUGGGAGCAAACA
rnacentral:rRNA from 1 species